CACCCCUCUUGUUUGGAUAAUUACAACCACCCCCUCAGCUCUUCAAAUUUAGUGGAAUCUUCGAGAUUAUAUGAAAUAUUAUCACUUUUGUACCCGUUUUAUACUAUUCAAACUCUACAUUAUGAAGUAAGAUGAUCAUAAUAUGUGACUUUUAGCUUGUGUAUAUCAGUUUGUGGUGCAUCGGAAACUGUAUUUUUACACAAAACGAAUACAAACUAGAGCACAUUCCACGGAAUCUAGAUGAUUGUAUUGAAUUUGGCACAAUAAGGGUGGAGGUGUAAGAAAAAAUCAUAG
rnacentral:lncRNA from 1 species